GACGUAGGGGGCCAGCGUUGCUCGGAAUUACUGGGCGUAAAGGGUUCGUAGGCGGUGCGGCGAGUCGGGAGUGAAAUCUCUGGGCUUAACUCAGGGGCUGCUUCCGAAACUGCCGUGCUUGAGUGCGGGAGAGGCGAGUGGAAUUGCAGGUGUAGCGGUGAAAUGCGUAGAUAUCUGCAGGAACACCCGUGGCGAAGGCGGCUCGCUGGACCGCAACUGACGCUGAGGAACGAAAGCUAGGGGAGCAAACAGG
rnacentral:rRNA from 1 species